rnacentral:rRNA from 1 species
GAUGAACGCUGGCGGCGUGCCUAAUACAUGCAAGUCGAGCGAACGGACGAGAAGCUUGCUUCUCUGAUGUUAGCGGCGGACGGGUGAGUAACACGUGGAUAACCUACCUAUAAGACUGGGAUAACUUCGGGAAACCGGAGCUAAUUCCGGAUAAUAUUUUGAACCGCAUGGUUCAAAAGUGAAAGACGGUCUUGCUGUCACUUAUAGAUGGAUCCGCGCUGCAUUAGCUAGUUGGUAAGGUAACGGCCUACCAAGGCAACGAUGCAUAGCCGACCUGAGAGGGUGAUCGGCCACACUGGAACUGAGACACGGUCCAGACUCCUACGGGAGGCAGCAGUAGGGAAUCUUCCGCAAUGGGCGAAAGCCUGACAGAGCAACGCCGCGUGAGUGAUGAAGGUCUUCGGAUCGUAAAACUCUGUUAUUAGGGAAGAACAUAUGUGUAAGUAACUGUGCACAUCUUGACGGUACCUAAUCAGAAAGCCACGGCUAACUACGUG